ensembl:lncRNA
GCCGUGGCUGCCGCGGGGCUCAGGGCCGUGCUGCUGCUGCACCGCGGGCCCGUCCCCGCCCUGAGCACGGCCAGGCCUUUCCAUGAGCUCUUUGCGGAGUACGCGGAUUUCAGCUUCCGUGCCUUCGGGGACCUGGUGGAUGUGUGGCUCUCCUUCAGUGACCUGCCGCAGGUCCUUCAGAGCCUGCCCUACGCUGAGCCCCAGGAGCGGCUCCAGGCCGUGGCUGCUGCUCACAAAGCAUUUUACUCCGUGCUCCAUGAGCAAGUGUCACCAGCAGGUGGAAAGCUGUCCAUUGCUUUGGAAAUGGAUGAUGUCUUGGACAGUGCUUCAUCAGAAUUGCUUUCAGUUUCUCUUCAGGAUUCAAUAGACUUUGUGUCUCUUAACCUUCAGUAUCACUGUGGAAAUGAAAUUGAUUUUUACAAGAAAAUGAGUGAAUUCCAGGUAAAGUUAUGCACAGGGUUAAAAUGAUAGCAGCAAACAACAGACCAUAAAUAGGUGCAGAAUUUCAUGUGCUGUGAUGCAUGUCUAAAGAGUUCUGAUUUUCUGUGAAAGCUCAGGCAGCAGCUACAUUAGGAAGCAGCUGCAAAGUGCUCAUUUCUCUGUUGUUAUUCUGACUUAUAAACUGUUAUUGGAAAAUGCUGGAAAGCAUCAUCUUGGUCAAUGUUUAUUAUUGAUGCAUUAACAAUUAGAAUGGCAAAAUUCUUUUAUCUGGGACUGAACAACCUCUCUCACAUGCUAAGUGUUUGAUAACUAAGCUGUUAGACCAAUAGCUAAGUACUGAAAGAUAUUAAACUCUGGCUUGAGCUCUACAGCAGUGCUACCAAACUUCACAUUCCUCAUCAGCAGGGGUAGAAAUCAUCAGGUGCCAGAAAUGCUACUGAGGGGGAGUUUAGUAAAGGGUCAGAUCUGGCAGCACCAACAUCAGUGAUGCUGUAGGCUGGUACCCAUUAUAACCAAUACAAAAUCUCUGGCAGUGAACUGCAUUCUUAAAAUUCAUAGAGAAAGAGUCAUCCAGCAUCUGGGUAGCAGGAUAAGGAGCUGCCCAUUUAAAAUGUAAAAAAUGCCAAGACAGGGUUUCACUAGCUGGCUGAUGCUUCUCUUCAUACUACUUUCUAAUUUCUGGUUUGCAGAGUGUUUGGAAGAACAAAGAUAUCUUGGUUUCUAGUUUAAAGGUCCUUGACUGUGCCUCCAUGGAAGAGCAUCCUUUCAUGCCAGUAGCUGCCAUUGCCACAGGUGAGUGAUGUUUGAAGAGGAAGAGUUUUUUAGUUAAGAUCUGCAGGAAGAGCAAAUUCAAACUUAAUUUUCCUCUACAAUUAACUUGUAGAAGAAAUUAAAAAUCAUCCAAUCUAGGCUGCUGCUAUUAGAUGAAAUAAGAGUUUUAUAUAGUAUUUUUGGAGAAUUAAGGAUGGAUGGUGAGUGUUGAGGGAGGGGAAGCAGGAAAUCUUUUCCAGAUCUUUUCAUCAGCCUUAAAUUGCAGAAAGAGAAGAUUAGGUUGGAUAUUAGGAAAAACUUCUUUCAAGAUAUAAUUGUUUGUUACAAAUAGUGUUGUGCAGUCUAUGGCAUCUAAGACUGUAUCCAUCACUUACCAUUUGUUUGUUUGCAGCAAUUAAUAAAGAAGAAGCACGUAUGAUUGGGUGUGACGUU